UACGAAGGGGGCUAGCGUUGUUCGGAUUUACUGGGCGUAAAGCGCACGUAGGCGGAUCUUUAAGUCAGAGGUGAAAUCCCAAGGCUCAACCUUGGAACUGCCUUUGAUACUGGGGAUCUUGAGUCCGGGAGAGGGAUGCAGAAUUCCAGGUGUAGCGGUGAAAUGCGUAGAUAUCUGGAGGAAUACCGGUGGCGAAGGCGGCAUCCUGGACCGGCAUUGACGCUGAGGAGCGAAAGCCAGGGGAGCAAACGGG
rnacentral:rRNA from 1 species